rnacentral:misc_RNA from 1 species
GGAUGAGAAGGUGAACUUCCAGAUUUUGGGAGCGAAGAGGGUGGUCAGCUCAAAUUUUGUGUUGUGUAUAGUAUUUGUUGCCCUAGAGCCUCAGUAAGGUAGGAACAGAUGUAGAGGUAGGUGUACAGGGUCUCUCUCUUCUCUUAGCUCUUUUAAAUUACAGCUCAUUUUUCUUAAAUCCCCUUUCCACCUGCUCACCAAGGGAGGGCCUAUUUGAUUUUGUCCCCGUAGUCAUCCCAUGUAUUAUAGCCCUUUUUAUAUUCAAUGGGGUAGUUUAUCAUUUUUAUGGCCUAAGGC